rnacentral:lncRNA from 1 species
ACCAAUGAUCUGCUUCUACCACCAGCAUGCAGGUAGCAAGGGUGACCUUAUGCUCGGGAACCACUCCUAGGGUCUUGAAAGCCUUCUCUAUCUCCGCCAACCAGUACUGGCAUCUUCAAAAGAGGAUUCUCCUGCAAAAGUGGAAGGAUUCAGUCUCCUGUACCUCUUUAUGUAGCCCGGGUCAAUCAAGGAAAGAGCUGGGUCCCACAAAAGGGGGACUGGGCUGGGUUGGGGAUAGACUGGGGAGCCCUAUGGUGGCACUUACUGGUAUGGUGGGGGCACUGGAUUAUAUUGUGGCGUUGCCGGAUAGUACUGUGGUUAGGCCAUCGGAUUAUAUUGCGGCGGUGGUACUGG